AACACGGAGAGUUUGAUCCUGGCUCAGGAUGAACGCUGGCGGUCUGCUUAACACAUGCAAGUCGAACGGAGUAGAAAUACUUAGUGGCGGACGGGUGAGUAACGCGUGAGAAUCUACCUACAGGACGGAGAUAACAGUUGGAAACGACUGCUAAGCCCCGAUGAACCGAAAGGAAAAAUAUUUAUAGCCUGAAGAUGAGCUCGCGUCCGAUUAGCUAGUUGGGGGGGUAAAGGCCCACCAAGGCGACGAUCGGUAGCUGGUCUGAGA
rnacentral:rRNA from 1 species